GGAAUGGGGUACACGGAACCUUGGUUCUGGAACAUUGUUCCAGAAGGCUGUUCGAAAACCGGAUCAUUUUUUCCCAUUAGAAGUAAUGUAAAUUGAAUUAAUCCAUUCCAGACUCCCAAAAG